rnacentral:rRNA from 1 species
GACGAAGGAUGCAAGCGUUAUCCGGAUUCAUUGGGUUUAAAGGGAGCGUAGGUGGCCUUAUAAGUCAGUGGUGAAAUCUUCGAGCUUAACUCGGAAAUUGCCAUUGAUACUGUAGGGCUUGAGUAUAGUUGCCGUUGGCGGAAUAUGACGUGUAGUGGUGAAAUACAUAGAGAUGUCAUAGAACACCGAUUGCGAAGGCAGCUGACGAAACUAUAACUGACACUGAGGCUCGAAAGUGCGGGGAUCAAACAGG